rnacentral:ncRNA from 1 species
AAUAAAUUUUAUUUUAGUUUGGAAAUUCUAUUGUUUAUUUAUUUAUAUAUAAAUUGUUAUAAAUUUUUAUAAUUAGGAAGUUGUAGUUUAAAAUUUUAAGUUUUUAAGAAAUUAAGAAUUAGAAAUUAGAUAUUUGUAUUGACAAUUUUUGUGCCAGCAGUAGCGGUUAAACAGAAAAUAUAAUAGAAUUUUAUUUACUAUAGUUAUUAAAUAUAAUUUUUAUAAAUAAAAAUUUAAAUAUUAGGGUGAAAUCUAUAUUUAAAAUUAGUUUAUUAUAAAUUAAGAGGCUAAGAAAUUUUAGGAUUAGACUAGGAUUAGAUACCCUAUUAUUUUGAAUGUAAUUUUUAGUGUAAAAUUAGUAAUAGGUAUGAUCUAGAAAUUUAAAAAAUUUGGCGGUAUUAUAAUCUUUUUAGAGGAACCUGUUCUAUAAUUGAUAGUCCACAAUAAAAUAAACUUAAUUUAUAAAUUUAUAUAUCGUCGAAGAUAAAUAUUUUAUGAGAAAGUAAAUAUUUGUAAUAUAAUUAUGUGUAAGGAAUCAGAUCAAGAUAUAGUUAAUAGUUAAGAAAGUAAUGGGUUACAAUUUUAUUAUUAUUAGACUUUUUAUGUUAAAUAAAUUAGAUUAGAGGAUUUAAAAGUAAUUUUUAAAUUAUUAUUAAUUUUGAAUAAAGCUCUUUAAUAUGCACAUAUUGCCCGUCGCUCCUAACUUAGGAUAAGUCGUAACAAAGUAGUUGUACUGGAAAGUGUAGCUUGAAGUUA